AAAACCAGUUUCAUGCUGGUUUUAUAGGGAAACCCAUGCCUGACACCUGGCCCUACAUGUAAAUGAAAUCCCCGUGGUUCAGAAUUUUUUUCUCAGUAAACGUGAGCUUUGUCUGUGUCGUUUUGUUGUGUUCACGUUUGCUGAGUAGUUUUCCAUUCAUGUACCUGCAAGCCCUGCUGUUGGUAGAGGGUCCAGAGCCUCAAGUGUUUCUAUCUCUAGGUGGGGGGGCGGCCCCAAGGGUUCUGCUAAAUUAAUCUCUUCGAGGCUGGCCUGGGGAGAUCGGGGGAGGCUUGUGAAAUCUGUACGCCCUGAGCUCUGAGUUAAAGCCUUUCCAGACAGUGUCUUUGUGCCAGUCUAGAGGGAAGAGAGCUUUUAUUUCUCGCUGGAGUGAGGCACACGUGGAGAACACAGGACCAGUGACCGCAGGAGGCUCGUGACGAGGCGCGGAAGGCAGACGUCAAGACGGGGGAGGCAGACGUCAAGGGUUUCUGCCUAACAAGCUGCUGACGCGUUUCCAGCAGGGCUCCCCAGUGGCAGCCUCCCAUCACCGCUGCUCGCCUCGGGAGCCCCGUUCCGACUGAAAAACAUUUGUGUGUUUAAGGGAUGUGACCUUCCCCAGGUAGCUUCGAUUUCAAGCCAGCCCGGUGCAUUCUUUAGUGGAGUCUGUGAACUGUGGUACCGGGGAAAGAGAUGAUAAACAUCAGAGCUGGCUUUACUCACAUUUAGAGGACAGGACAGCUUUUGUGGGAGAGACAGAGAGAAAAAAAAGGUCCUGGUCUGAUUUUUUUUUUCUUUUUUGUUGAAUAUGUUGUGUUUUGGCAAGUACUAUGGGGAAAUUGGACAUGACUGAGAAAGAUUGAAGGCAAGAGGAGAAGGGGAUGGCAGAGAAUGAGAUGGUUGGAUGGCAUCACCCACUCGGUGGGCGUGAGUUUGAGCAAGCUCCAGGGGAUGGUAAAGGACAGGGAAGCCUGGGGUGCUGCAGUCCACGGCAUCACAAAGAGUCAGACACGACUGAGCAGCUGAACAGCAAGAACAGAAAGGGCCUAUAUAUGGCUAUUGGCUCCUCUCUUGGCUGCAUGGAAGAGUUUUUUGAUUGCAUCACAAACCAAGGAAAGAAGGAACCUAGCAAGCUCUGGUCACAUUGUGACAUUUCUUUUCUGCGUAUUUUAUUUGUUGGUGCAAUUCUAAAAUGCAUCAUUUUUUUCUGCAUUCCCUUACGUUUCAUUAUUAAAGAAAUUAGUUGAUUUCUGUAUGUUAAUCUUGUAUCCUUCUACCUUGCUGUAAUAUUUAUUUUCUG
ensembl:lncRNA